GAUGAACGCUGGCGGCGUGCCUAAUACAUGCAAGUCGAGCGAACAGACGAGGAGCUUGCUCCUCUGACGUUAGCUGCGUACGGGUGAGUAACACGUGGAUAACCUACCUAUAAGACUGGGAUAACUUCGGGAAACCGGAGCUAAUACCGGAUAAUAUAUUGAACCGCAUGGUUCAAUAGUGAAAGACGGUUUUGCUGUCACUUAUAGAUGGAUCCGCGCCGCAUUAGCUAGUUGGUAAGGUAACGGCUUACCAAGGCAACGAUGCGUAGCCGACCUGAGAGGGUGAUCGGCCACACUGGAACUGAGACACGGUCCAGACUCUGACGGGAGGCAGCAGUAGGGAAUCUUACGCAAUGGGGGAGAGCGUGACGGAGCAACGCCGCGUGAGUGAUGAAGGUCUGCGGAUCGUAAAACUCUGUUAUUAGGGAAGAACAAAUGUGUAAGUAACUAUGCACGUCUUGACGGUACCUAAUCAGAAAGCCACGGCUAACUACGUG
rnacentral:rRNA from 1 species